rnacentral:rRNA from 1 species
UACGUAGGGUGCAAGCGUUGUCCGGAAUUAUUGGGCGUAAAGAGCGUGUAGGCGGCCCGACCAGUCCGCUGUGAAAGUCCAGGGCUCAACCCUGGAAUGCCGGUGGAUACUGUCGGGCUAGAGUCCGGAAUGGGCGAGUGGAAUUCCUGGUGUAGCGGUGAAAUGCGCAGAUAUCAGGAGGAACACCGAUGGCGAAGGCAGCUCGCUGGGACGUGACUGACGCUGAGACGCGAAAGCGUGGGGAGCAAACAGG